UGAAGUCUUUUGGCGUAUCUCUGACAGCCGACCCAAGUGCUUCACGUGCUUCCCAACAUUAUAUCUCUUCUCCACUCAUUGUUUAGUGCUUGACCAGACAUCCCAAAAGAAAGUCACACAGAGAGAGACAGAGAGACACAGACAGAAAAGAUGGAACCACCGGCUCCACAAGCCAUAGAGACUUCUAGCAAGAACUUCGAGUUCCAGGCUGAAGGAGAUGAACAAGACAAGGCCGUCAAUGACUGUUGUUCUUGCUGUUAUGACUGCACAGAGACCUGCUUCGAUUACUUGUUCUGUAACCUCUGUUAGCUAGAGAGUAUUACAAUUUGCUCACUUCUAUUGUCCUGGCCAACAAAAAAAAAAAAAAAAAGGAAAAAAACAAUGGCUUUUGUUAGUAUAAUUACUUAAAUAAUGGCUUUUGAUGUGGGAAUUUGCUGUGGAAAAGUCGUUGUUCCUUAAAUUCCUAAUGUCUAAGUUUCUGUACCUACUUAUUGCAUUGUUUUAUGUGCAAUUUCAGUGUAUGAAUUAGGGUUACCCUUU